UGAAUUCUUGUACUUCGGAGUUCAUAGGUAAUUAAUUCAAACAUUACCCUUACAGAAAAUGAGCUGUUACAUACAAGUGUUACAUAAAACUUAAAAGCUACAACAUAUAUACUGUAGCAUCAAACUAAUUACGUUUAAAUCAGGUAAUUGAUAGAUAGUACUCCCUCCGUUUUUCUUUAUUUGAAACCGUUGACUUUUGAAUUUAUGUUUAACCAUCCAUCUUAUCAAAAAAAACUACAUAAAUCUUAAUUGAUUUAUUAUGGUUUGAUUUAUUUAUACUAAAGGACUUUAAAAAUAACAUAUAAUUUUAUGUCUUUGUAAAAAUAAUUAAAUAAGACAAGAAGCUGUUAAACGUGCAUACAACAGUCAACGGCGUCAAAUAAAAUAUCAAAGGGAGUAACAAACAGCAGCAAUGAAGGAUGGAUGUGUUUGCAAGAUCGAGUCAUAAGCAAUGAGCAGCAGCACUGGUCUCUAAGCGGCCUUGCAGUGCUCCUCUGACUCGCAGCCACGCGAGUAUUUGUUGGCGACGGCGUCGGGGCGGUCGAGCUGCUUGGUCCCCGGGACGUGGUCGUGGUUCAUGGACGCGUAGUCGAUGACCUCCGCGCCGACGCCAACAUCCCCGACGGCGGCGCUCAUCACGACGACGACGACGAGAGCCACCAUGACGGCCAGGUUCACCCUACCUGCAGUUUUGGCCAUGUCCUCGAUCGAUCCAGGUACGUAGCUAGCUAGCUGGCUACGUAUCUUGUUCAUAAAUAGAUCUAGGUGGUUGGUGAGUGGAAUUG
rnacentral:lncRNA from 1 species